rnacentral:rRNA from 1 species
UCCCCUAGUAACUGCGAGUGAAGCGGGAAAAGCUCAAAUUUAAAAUCUGGCAGUGGUUCACUGCCCGAGUUGUAAUCUAGAGAAGUGUUGCUCACACUGGACCAUGUAUAAGUCUUCUGGAAUGAAGCGUCAUAGAGGGUGAGAAUCCCGUCUUUGACAUGGACUCCCAGUGUAUUUGUAGCAUGCUCUCAAAGAGUCGAGUUGUUUGGGAAUGCAGCUCUAAAUGGGUGGUAACCUCCAUCUAAAGCUAAAUAUUGGCGAGAGACCGAUAGUGAACAAGUACCGUGAGGGAAAGAUGAAAAGAACUUUGGAAAGAGAGUUAAAAAGUACGUGAAAUUGUUGAAAGGGAAACGCUUGAAGUCAGUCACAUUGGCCAGGGAUCAACUUGCUUAAGUGUACUUCCUGGCUGAUGGGCCAACAUCAGCUUUGACUGUCAGAGAAGGGUAGGGGGAAUGUGGCACCCUUCUUGGGUGUGUUAUAGCCCUCUGUCAUAUAUGGCGGUUGGGGCUGAGGAAUGCAGCGCGCCACAAGGCCGGGCUUCGACCACGUUCGCGCUUAGGAUGUUGGCAUAAUGGCUUUAAUCGACCCGUCUUGAAACACGGACCAAGGAGUCUAACAUGCCUGCGAGUGUUUGGGUGGAAAACCCGAGUGCAUAAUGAAAGUGAAAGUUGAGAUCCCUGUCAUGGGGUGCAUCGACGCCCGGACCUGAGC